rnacentral:misc_RNA from 1 species
ACCGCUCAUCCCUGGACACAACGCAACACAGUGUCGAGGGGGGAUCGUGAGGCGAGAGCCUGCCGGAGACUCGGUCCUCGACCGAUCGUCGUGGUGUUCGCAUCGGCAGAUCAGAAGGAAAACCAAAAGAAUAUAAGACCGAGAGCUCUUGGAGCCGCCGUCGAUCUAGUCGGAGGCCUCCUCGACGAUGCUCUCGAGCCGCGGCCUCCACACGCCGACGCGGGCGCCGCUGCGCCGCCUCCGGUGACCGCCGCCCGACGCGGCCUUUUCGGAGAGCAGCUCCCUCAGGUAGUUGUCCUGCUCCGCCGUGCCACCGGCGCUCUGCUUCUUGGCGUGGUGGCGGAGGCGGCUCUGGCUCUGGCUCUGGCUCUGGCUCGGCCGCUUGCUGCUCUGCUUCUUGCUCCUCCGGUCGGCGGGCAGGGUCGCGGACGGGAUGAGGAAGUAGAUGCGGCCGCGCUUGAGGUCGGAGUCGGGCGACACGAUGGCGAGCUUCCGGGAGCCGCACCCUGGCGCGCCGGAGGGGGACCACGCCGUGGUGAGCGUGUGGGCGGGGUUCGCGGCGAGCACGGUUGCCGCGGCCACCGGGCAGCUGAACUCGUCGACGCGCCCGCUGAGGUGCACGACGCGGACCACGUCCAGGGCGCCGCAGGGGACCAUGCAGGCCAGGCAGCACCGCAAGCUGUUGCCCAUGACGCUGUCGUCUUCGUCGUCGGUGGUGGACGUGGGGGCUUCUUGAUUGGUUUGCUGCUCCUGCUAGGCGCUAGCUGAUUGAUUGCAACUGGUGGGGAUGAGUCCUGAUGGGUGGGAGUGCCGGAGGCCAGCUGCUCGCAUGGUAUAUAUAGCGCGCCAAGUGGGAGUGGACCCUGGGGGAGGGGGGUUGUGAUUGUGCCGUGCUGGCAUCUUUUAAAGUCAUAGCUAUCUCGCUGGCUUGGGGAUUGGAUAAUGGUAAGGGUCCACUCAAAUUCAUGUGGAUUGGAGGGAAUUUGUAGGUUUAAAUUCAUAGCAAGUUAAUAUAUGUUUUUUUCAAUUCUAUUGAAUUCAUGUGGCGUAGAAAUAAACGAAUAAAG